rnacentral:rRNA from 1 species
CAGUAGCCGCGGUAAUACGUAGGUGGCAAGCGUUGUCCGGAAUUAUUGGGCGUAAAGGGCUCGCAGGCGGUUUCUUAAGUCUGAUGUGAAAGCUCCCGGCUCAACCGGGGAGGGUUAUUGGAAACUGGGAAACUUGAGUGCAGAAGAGGAGAGUGGAAUUCCACGUGUAGCGGUGAAAUGCGUAGAGAUGUGGAGGAACACCAGUGGCGAAGGCGACUCUCUGGUCUGUAACUGACGCUGAGGAGCGAAAGCGUGGGGAGCGAACAGGAUUAGAUACCCCCGUAGUCCCUGUCUCUUAUAA